rnacentral:rRNA from 1 species
GAUGAACGCUGGCGGCGUGCCUAAUACAUGCAAGUCGAGCGAAUGGAUUAAGAGCUUGCUCUUAUGAAGUUAGCGGCGGACGGGUGAGUAACACGUGGGUAACCUGCCCAUAAGACUGGGAUAACUCCGGGAAACCGGGGCUAAUACCGGAUAACAUUUUGAACCGCAUGGUUCGAAAUUGAAAGGCGGCUUCGGCUGUCACUUAUGGAUGGACCCGCGUCGCAUUAGCUAGUUGGUGAGGUAACGGCUCACCAAGGCAGCGAUGCGUAGCCGACCUGGGAGGGUGAUCGGCCACACUGGGACUGAGACACGGCCCAGACUCCUACGGGAGGCAGCAGUAGGGAAUCUUCCGCAAUGGACGAAAGUCUGACGGAGCAACGCAGCGUGAGUGAUGAAGGCUUUCGGGUCGUAAAACUCUGUUGUUAGGGAAGAACAAGUGCUAGUUGAAUAAGCUGGCACCUUGACGGUACCUAACCAGAAAGCCACGGCUAACUACGUGCCAGCAGCCGCCGUAA